rnacentral:rRNA from 1 species
UACGGAGGGUGCAAGCGUUAUCCGGAUUUACUGGGUGUAAAGGGUGCGUAGGCGGCAUGUUAAGUUAGUGGUAAAAUGUCGGAGCUAAACUCCGGAUCGCCAUUAAUACUGUCAUGCUCGAGUACAGACGAGGUAGGCGGAAUAAGUUAAGUAGCGGUGAAAUGCAUAGAUAUAACUUAGAACACCGAUAGCGAAGGCAGCUUACCAGACUGAGUCUGACGCUGAUGCACGAGAGCAUGGGUAGCGAACAGG